rnacentral:rRNA from 1 species
UACGUAGGCAGCAAGCGUUGUUCGGAAUUACUGGGCGUAAAGAGUGUGUAGGCGGUGCUCUAAGUUCGGUGUGAAAUCUCCCGGCUCAACUAGGAGGGUGCGCCGGAAACUGGGGUGCUGGAGCGCGGGAGAGGAAAGCGGAAUUCCUGGUGUAGCGGUGAAAUGCGUAGAUAUCAGGAGGAACACCGGCGGUGUAGACGGCUUUCUGGACCGUAGCUGACGCUGAGACACGAAAAGCGUGGGGUAG